rnacentral:misc_RNA from 1 species
UGUGGGAGCGGGCUUGCUCGCGAUUCCCGGCACUCGGUGCAUCUGAUACACCGAGGUGCUGCCAUCGCGAGCAAGCCCGCUCCCACC